AGAGAUGGAUCUCUUCCAGCAAUGGACCUGCACACAGGUGCUGCAUGGCUGUCGUCAGCUCGUGUCGUGAGAUGUUGGGUUAAGUCCCGCAACGAGCGCAACCCUCGCCUUUAGUUGCCAUCAUUCAGUUGGGCACUCUAAAGGGACUGCCGGUGAUAAGCCGCGAGGAAGGUGGGGAUGACGUCAAGUCCUCAUGGCCCUUACGGGCUGGGCUACACACGUGCUACAAUGGCGGUGACAGUGGGAUGCAAAGGGGCGACCCCUCGCAAAUCUCAAAAAGCCGUCUCAGUUCGGAUUGUACUCUGCAACUCGAGUGCAUGAAGUUGGAAUCGCUAGUAAUCGUGGAUCAGCAUGCCACGGUGAAUACGUUCCCGGGCCUU
rnacentral:rRNA from 1 species